AACGUAGGAGACAAACGUUAUCCGGAGUUACUGGGCGUAAAGGGCGUGUAGGUGGUUGUGUAAGUCUGGCGUGAAAUUUUUCGGCUUAACCGGGAAAGGUCGUCGGAUACUGCACAACUAGAGGACGGUAGAGGCGUGUGGAAUUCCGGGUGUAGUGGUGAAAUGCGUAGAGAUCCGGAAGAACACCGGUGGCGAAGGCGGCCUGCUGGGCAGUGGCUGACGCUGAGGCGCGACAGCGUGGGGAGCAAACAGG
rnacentral:rRNA from 1 species